rnacentral:rRNA from 1 species
UACAGAGGUCUCAAGCGUUGUUCGGAUUCAUUGGGCGUAAAGGGUGUGUAGGUGGCGCCGUAAGUCGGGUGUGAAAUUUCGGAGCUUAACUCCGAAACUGCAUUCGAUACUGCGGUGCUUGAGGACUGGAGAGGAGACUGGAAUUCAUGGUGUAGCAGUGAAAUGCGUAGAGAUCAUGAGGAAGACCAGUGGCGAAGGCGGGUCUCUGGGCCGAUGACUGACGCUGAGGAGCGAAAGCGUGGGGAGCAAACAGG